GUAGGGAAUAUUGGACAAUGGGCGCAAGCCUGAUCCAGCCAUGCCGCGUGCAGGAAGACGCAUCUAUGGUGUGUAAACUGCUUUUGUACGGGAAGAAACACUCCCUCGUGAGGGAGCUUGACGGUACCGUAAGAAUAAGGAUCGGCUAACUCCGUGCCAGCAGCCGCGGUAAUACGGAGGAUCCAAGCGUUAUCCGGAAUCAUUGGGUUUAAAGGGUCCGUAGGCGGUUUAAUAAGUCAGUGGUGAAAGCCCAUCGCUCAACGAUGGAACGGCCAUUGAUACUGUUAGACUUGAAUUACAAGGAAGUAACUAGAAUAUGUAGUGUAGCGGUGAAAUGCUUAGAUAUUACAUGGAAUACCAAUUGCGAAGGCAGGUUACUACUUGUGGAUUGACGCUGAUGGACGAAAGCGUGGGGAGCGAACAGGAUUAGAAACCCGGGUAGUCC
rnacentral:rRNA from 1 species